rnacentral:rRNA from 1 species
AUGGGCGCUAGUCCCAGAUCUGUGACCUCGACGUUCCGGCCGCAGGGAGAGCGCCCUGUGGUGUCGGGAUUGGGGAACUCCUCUGGCUCCGAGGGCUCGGACGCGCAUGGGCCAGCUGCGGUGGAGGAUGACGUCCCUGCUCCAGGGCAAGGGCAGGCCCCAUGGGAGCACCCGCCUCCUUCCAAGAGAGAGCUCUGGAGGAUGAGGCGCAGCCCUGAUGGCCCGAGCGGGCGCCCGACGCCUGCGCGGCCCGCGUCGCCGCCCAUCGUGGUUUCGCCGGAGAUGAGGGACAAGUGCUUCAAGUGUUUGGAGAACGGCCACUACAAGAAGGAGUGCACCAACCAGAUUGUCUGCUUCAGAUGUGGCUUGCUCGGCCAUGGUUCCAAGGAUUGCAAGCGGCCGAGGAGUCCUUCGUUGGUGGACGACCUCCGUCGGGAGGCGGUGGCCAAAGUGGCGUGCCGCUCCUCUCCCCCGCCGCGGCCGGUGCUUGCGGCCACGCCCCAUGGUGCCAACUUGCCAACUCAGACCGCGGUGCCGGGCGUCGACCUGGUGUGGCCACCUCUGGCGCCGCCGCGUUUGCAAGUGGAGAGCAGGGUCGAGGAGGCGCCGGCGGAGCUCUGCGUCGUCAAGCGCUCUGCCGUCGUGUCCAACCUGGAGCGGCGCCUCCAGUUUGCCAUGGUGGCCUAUGUGGCUGGUCAAAGGAGGGUUCUUGCACCGGCGCGUGUGAAGGAGGUCCUCGCCGGGAAGCUAGACAUCGCCCCUGAGCUUGUUUCGGUGCAUUGUUACAGGCCUGAGGACUUUCUGGUGGUUUUUGCGUCCGCGGAGGUGCGAAACAGAGUGGCGGCGUGCCCCUCGGUGGAGUUUGAAGGUGAUCGUUUGAUUUUCAUGCCGUGGAAUAGGCAAUCGCAGGCAGUCCAUUCAGUGUUCGGUUUCAAGGUGUGGCUGGAGAUCGAGGGCAUCCCCCCUCAUGCGUGGGAUCGCUCCGUGGUGGAGGAGUUGCUUGGGUCUUCUUGCAAGGUUGAGGCGGUGGCACCAGAGACUGCUUCCCGCUCUGACCUGUCCUCGUUCAAGCUCACGGCAUGGACGGCAAGCCCGGAAGAGAUUCUUGUUCUCAGAUGGCUGGCGGUGCCGGAGCCUGGCCUGGAGGCGCCGCCCGCUCUUCUGCAGUAUAAGGUGCUCAUACACAUCGACAUGGUUAUGGAUCUGAGAGAGGCCGGCGAGCCUUGGUUCUUUGGGAGCUUGUCGGGAAGCGGCCAGAGCAGUCUCCCCGACAACGACGACAUUGCGGGCGGCGGACCCAGGCCGCACAGGCUGGUGUGGCAGUUUGGUGUACGUGACACCCGCUCCGGCGGUCAUGGUGGCUUCGCCGCCGGUGGUGGGGGUGGGGCCUGGUCCAGGUCGUUGGGACAUGAUUGGCGCCUCCCUCCCAUGGAGGCCCCGCCAGUCGCUGCGCCGGUGGCCCCACCCAUUCCUAUCCUGAGCAGGCUGACGAGGCGUGUUUCAGCUUUUCAGCGUUUGACCGGUCAGGCCAGGAGAGAGGAUUCGAAUCGCGCGCCAAUUGUGAAUUCUGAAAGGAGUGGUGGAGUGGUGGUGACUUCAAACAGGUGUGGUGGAGCGGUUCCGAAAGCGACGGUUAUUCCUCCGCCUCGGUUGCUGAGGCGUGUGGAUCUAAGCAGAGAAAAGAAGGGGAAGGUACGUGCAUCUCGGUCGUCCAGUCUGGAACGCUGCCGGUGGGCCCGCAGGUGA